rnacentral:pre_miRNA from 1 species
GUCAGCCAUCUCCCCUGCAAGGGGUGAGAUCGGAUGGGGCAAGAUCGCGCAACCCCUAUCUCCCCCCUUGCGGGGGAGAUGUCGCGA